rnacentral:hammerhead_ribozyme from 1 species
CUUCAUCUGACGAGUCGCAAAUAGGACAAAAUGCGCCUCCUGGAU